AACGCUAGCGGCAGGCCUAAUACGUGCAAGUCGGACGGGAUUCAGGAGCUUGCUUCUGAUGAGAGUGGCGCACGGGUGCGUAACACGUAUGUAACCUACCUUUAUCAGGGGGAUAGCCUCUCGAAAGAGAGAUUAAGCCCGCAUAAAAUCACAGCACAGCAUUGUGUAAUGAUCAAAUAUUUAUAGGAUAAAGAUGGGCAUGCGGAACAUUAGCUAGAUGGCGGGGUAACGGCCCACCAUGGCGACGAUGUUUAGGGGAUCUGAGAGGAUGGCCCCCCACACUGGUACUGAGACACGGACCAGACUCCUACGGGAGGCAGCAGUAAGGAAUAUUGGUCAAUGGGCGGAAGCCUGAACCAGCCAUGCCGCGUGCAGGAAGACGGCCCUACGGGUUGUAAACUGCUUUUAUACGGGAAUAAACCCAGAUACGUGUAUCUGGCUGAAUGUACUGUAAGAAUAAGGAUCGGCUAACUCCGUG
rnacentral:rRNA from 1 species